UCAGGAUGAACGCUGGCGGCGUGCCUAAUACAUGCAAGUCGAACGAGUUCUCGUUGAUGAUCGGUGCUUGCACCGAGAUUCAACAUGGAACGAGUGGCGGACGGGUGAGUAACACGUGGGUAACCUGCCCUUAAGUGGGGGAUAACAUUUGGAAACAGAUGCUAAUACCGCAUAGAUCCAAGAACCGCAUGGUUCUUGGCUGAAAGAUGGCGUAAGCUAUCGCUUUUGGAUGGACCCGCGGCGUAUUAGCUAGUUGGUGAGGUAAUGGCUCACCAAGGCGAUGAUACGUAGCCGAACUGAGAGGUUGAUCGGCCACAUUGGGACUGAGACACGGCCCAAACUCCUACGGGAGGCAGCAGUAGGGAAUCUUCCACAAUGGACGCAAGUCUGAUGGAGCAACGCCGCGUGAGUGAAGAAGGCUUUCGGGUCGUAAAACUCUGUUGUUGGAGAAGAAUGGUCGGCAGAGUAACUGUUGUCGGCGUGACGGUAUCCAACCAGAAAGCCACGGCUAACUACGUGCCAGCAGCCGCGGUAAUACGUAGGUGGCAAGCGUUAUCCGGAUUUAUUGGGCGUAAAGCGAGCGCAGGCGGUUUUUUAAGUCUGAUGUGAAAGCCCUCGGCUUAACCGAGGAAGCGCAUCGGAAACUGGGAAACUUGAGUGCAGAAGAGGACAGUGGAACUCCAUGUGUAGCGGUGAAAUGCGUAGAUAUAUGGAAGAACACCAGUGGCGAAGGCGGCUGUCUGGUCUGUAACUGACGCUGAGGCUCGAAAGCAUGGGUAGCGAACAGGAUUAGAUACCCUGGUAGUCCAUGCCGUAAACGAUGAAUGCUAGGUGUUGGAGGGUUUCCGCCCUUCAGUGCCGCAGCUAACGCAUUAAGCAUUCCGCCUGGGGAGUACGACCGCAAGGUUGAAACUCAAAGGAAUUGACGGGGGCCCGCACAAGCGGUGGAGCAUGUGGUUUAAUUCGAAGCAACGCGAAGAACCUUACCAGGUCUUGACAUCUUUUGAUCACCUGAGAGAUCAGGUUUCCCCUUCGGGGGCAAAAUGACAGGUGGUGCAUGGUUGUCGUCAGCUCGUGUCGUGAGAUGUUGGGUUAAGUCCCGCAACGAGCGCAACCCUUAUGACUAGUUGCCAGCAUUUAGUUGGGCACUCUAGUAAGACUGCCGGUGACAAACCGGAGGAAGGUGGGGAUGACGUCAAAUCAUCAUGCCCCUUAUGACCUGGGCUACACACGUGCUACAAUGGAUGGUACAACGAGUUGCGAGACCGCGAGGUCAAGCUAAUCUCUUAAAGCCAUUCUCAGUUCGGACUGUAGGCUGCAACUCGCCUACACGAAGUCGGAAUCGCUAGUAAUCGCGGAUCAGCACGCCGCGGUGAAUACGUUCCCGGGCCUUGUACACACCGCCCGUCACACCAUGAGAGUUUGUAACACCCGAAGCCGGUGGCGUAACCCUUUUAGGGAGCGAGCCGUCUAAGGUGGGACAAAUGAUUAGGGUGAAGUCG
rnacentral:rRNA from 2 species